rnacentral:rRNA from 1 species
CCUACGGGGUGCAGCAGUGAGGGAUUUCGCGCAAUGGGGGAAACCCUGACGCAGCAAUGCCGCGUGAGUGAAGAAGGCCUUUGGGUCGUAAAGCUCUGUCAGAUGGGAAGAAGUUAUUAAUUAUUAAUAGUAGUUAGUAUUGACGGUACCAUCAAAGGAAGCACCGGCUAACUCCGUGCCAGCAGCCGCGGUAAUACGGAGGGUGCAAGCGUUAUUCGGAAUCAUUGGGCGUAAAGGGCGCGUAGGCGGUAUGUCAAGUCAGAUGUGAAAUCCCGGGGCUUAACUUCGGAGGGUCAUUUGAAACUGGCAUACUUGAGUUCGGUAGAGGAAAGCGGAAUUCCUGGUGUAGCGGUGAAAUGCGUAGAUAUCAGGAGGAACAUCAGUGGCGAAGGCGGCUUUCUGGCCCGAUACUGACGCUGAUGCGCGAAGGCAUGGGUAGCAAACGGGAUUAGAUACCCCCGUAGUC